rnacentral:lncRNA from 1 species
GCGGCGGUCACCAUAGAGACGGGAUGCUGUACCUGGGCUCCCGAGCCUCGCUGGCGGAUGCUCUACCUCUGCACAUCGCACCCAGGUGGUUCAGCUCGCACAGUGGUUUCAAGUGCCCCAUUUGUUCCAAGUCUGUGGCUUCCGAUGAGAUGGAAAUGCACUUUAUAAUGUGUCUGAGCAAACCUCGCCUGUCCUACAAUGAUGAUGUGCUGACUAAAGAUGCGGGUGAGUGUGUGAUCUGCCUGGAGGAGCUGCUUCAGGGGGACACGAUAGCCAGGCUGCCUUGCCUGUGCAUCUAUCACAAAAGCUGCAUAGACUCAUGGUUUGAAGUGAACAGAUCUUGUCCAGAACACCCUGCUGAUUGACCCUUCUGGGCCUGCUUACGGACUCCUCUCAAAGGGACAGCCAGCCCCUGUUCCUGGGAGGAGGCUCCUCGGACACUGGACAGAGCUGAGCUUGGGACACCAGAGAGAACAGGGCACCCUUCUGCACUGGCUUCCAGAAAACGGUCCUCCCCGAGGACACCCAGUGGAUGAGAGCGAGUCUGAGAGAAGAAUGAAUUGACCUCUAUCCUUCCCCUCACCCUCGACCCAGGAGGGAAAGGGCAUUUUCUUUUUCACCUUUGAAAGGCGUUGUGGGUCUGUCUUUAAAAAGUGUUUACAAACAACAAAAAAUUCUAUAA